CCCUUAGAUGUUCUGGGCCGCACGCGCGCUACACUGAUGCAUUCAACGAGUCUAAAACCUGCUCUGAUAGGGGUGGGUAAUCUUUUGAAUGUGCAUCGUGAUUGGGAUAGAUGAUUGCAAUUUUUCAUCUUCAACGAGGAAUGCCUAGUAAACGCAAGUCAUCAGCUUGCAUUGAUUACGUCCCUGCCCUUUGUACACACCGCCCGGCGCUCCUACCGAUUGAAUGAUCCGAUGAAUAUCAUGGAUUGAGGAUGCAAGUAGGUUCGCCUAUCUUCAUCUUCGAGAAGUGAAGUAAAUCUUAUCAUUUAGAGGAAGGAGAAGUCGUAACA
rnacentral:rRNA from 1 species